rnacentral:rRNA from 1 species
GACGAACGCUGGCGGCGUGCUUAACACAUGCAAGUCGAACGGUGACGACUGGAGCUUGCUCCGGUCUGAUCAGUGGCGAACGGGUGAGUAACACGUGAGUAACCUGCCCCAGACUCUGGAAUAACCCCGGGAAACCGGAGCUAAUACCGGAUACGAGACGGAGAGGCAUCUCUACCGUCUGGAAAGUUUUUCGGUCUGGGAUGGACUCGCGGCCUAUCAGCUUGUUGGGGAGGUAACGGCUCACCAAGGCGACGACGGGUAGCCGGCCCGAGAGGGCGACCGGCCACACUGGGACUGAGACACGGCCCAGACUCCUACGGGAGGCAGCAGUGGGGAAUAUUGCACAAUGGGCGAAAGCCUGAUGCAGCGACGCCGCGUGAGGGAUGACGGCCUUCGGGUUGUAAACCUCUUUCAGCAGGGAAGAAGCGAAAGUGACGGUACCUGCAGAAGAAGCACCGGCUAACUACGUGCCAGCCGCCGCAGUAACAC